rnacentral:rRNA from 2 species
ACGAGUACUUGUACUUGGUGGCGACCGGCGCACGGGUGCGUAACGCGUAUGCAACCUACCUUAUACUGAGGGAUAGCCCAGAGAAAUUUGGAUUAAUACCUCAUAGUAUCAUUUGAAGGCAUCUGAGAAUGAUUAAAGAUUUAUCGGUAUAAGAUGGGCAUGCGUAAGAUUAGUUAGUUGGUGAGGUAACGGCUCACCAAGACUUCGAUCUUUAGGGGUUCUGAGAGGAUGAUCCCCCACACUGGUACUGAGAUACGGACCAGACUUC